rnacentral:rRNA from 1 species
UACGUAGGGGCCUAGCGUUGUCCGGAUUUAUUGGGCGUAAAGAGCUCGUAGGCGGUUUGGUUAGUCAGGUGUGAAAUCUCCACGCUCAACGUGGAGGGGCCACCUGAUACUGCCAUGACUUGAGUCCGGUAGGGGAGUGUGGAAUUCCCGGUGUAGUGGUGGAAUGCGUAGAUAUCGGGAGGAACACCAGUGGCGAAGGCGGUUGCCUGGAGCUUUGCUGACGCUGAUGCGCGAAAGCGUGGGGAGCGAUCCGG